rnacentral:rRNA from 4 species
GUCUCCGUAGGUGAACCUGCGGAGGGAUCAUU